rnacentral:rRNA from 1 species
AGUGAACGCUGGCGGUAGGCCUAACACAUGCAAGUCGAACGGCAGCACAGUAAGAGCUUGCUCUUACGGGUGGCGAGUGGCGGACGGGUGAGGAAUACAUCGGAAUCUACUUUUUCGUGGGGGAUAACGUAGGGAAACUUACGCUAAUACCGCAUACGACCUACGGGUGAAAGCAGGGGAUCUUCGGACCUUGCGCGAUUGAAUGAGCCGAUGUCGGAUUAGCUAGUUGGCGGGGUAAAGGCCCACCAAGGCGACGAUCCGUAGCUGGUCUGAGAGGAUGAUCAUCGAAACUGGAAAUGAGACACGGUCACGGCUCCUACGGGAGGCAACAGUGGGGAAUAUUGGACAAUGGGCGCAAGCCUGAUCCAACCAUACCACGUGGGUGAAGAAGGCCUUCGGGUUGUAAAGCCCUUUUGUUGGGAAAGAAAAGCAGCAGGUUAAUCCCCCGCUGUUCUGACGGUACCCAAAGAAUAAGCACCGGCUAACUUCGUG